rnacentral:rRNA from 1 species
GACGAAGGUGGCAAGCGUUAUUCGGAUUUACUGGGCAUAAAGCGCGCGUAGGCGGCUUGGCAAGUCGGGGGUGAAAGCCCGCAGCUCAAACUGCGGAACUGCCUUCGAUACUGCCGGGCUUGAGGGCGGGAGGGGUGAUUGGAACUCCAGGUGUAGCGGUGAAAUGCGUAGAUAUCUGGAGGAACACCGGAGGCGAAGGCGAAAUCACUGGACCGCUUCUGACGCUGAGGCGACGAAAAGCUAGGGGAGCAAACAGG